rnacentral:rRNA from 1 species
UACGGGGGGGGCAAGCGUUGUUCGGAAUUACUGGGCGUAAAGGGCGCGUAGGCGGUUGGAUAAGUCAGCUGUGAAAACCACGGGCUUAACUCGUGGCCUGCAGUUGAGACUGUCUGGCUUGAGUGUGGGAGAGGAGAGUGGAAUUUACGGUGUAGCAGUGAAAUGCGUAGAGAUCGUAAGGAAGACCAGUGGCGAAGGCGGGUCUCUGGACAGUUCCUGACACUGAGGCACGAAGGCCAGGGGAGCAAACGGG